GACCCGUAAUCCGGGUUGCGGACAGUGUCUGGUGGGUAGUUUGACUGGGGCGGUCUCCUCCUAAAGAGUAACGGAGGAGCACGAAGGUUGGCUAAUCCUGGUCGGACAUCAGGAGGUUAGUGCAAUGGCAUAAGCCAGCUUGACUGCGAGCGUGACGGCGCGAGCAGGUGCGAAAGCAGGUCAUAGUGAUCCGGUGGUUCUGAAUGGAAGGGCCAUCGCUCAACGGAUAAAAGGUACUCCGGGGAUAACAGGCUGAUACCGCCCAAGAGUUCAUAUCGACGGCGGUGUUUGGCACCUCGAUGUCGGCUCAUCACAUCCUGGGGCUGAAGUAGGUCCCAAGGGUAUGGCUGUUCGCCAUUUAAAGUGGUACGCGAGCUGGGUUUAGAACGUCGUGAGACAGUUCGGUCCCUAUCUGCCGUGGGCGCUGGAGAAUUGAGGGGGGCUGCUCCUAGUACGAGAGGACCGGAGUGGACGCAUCACUGGUGUUCGGGUUGUCAUGCCAAUGGCACUGCCCGGUAGCUAAAUGCGGAAGAGAUAAGUGCUGAAAGCAUCUAAGCACGAAACUUGCCCCGAGAUGAGUUCUCCCUGACUCCUUGAGAGUCCUGAAGGAACGUUGAAGACGACGACGUU
rnacentral:rRNA from 1 species